GCUAGUAAUCGCGGAUCAGCAUGCCGCGGUGAAUACGUUCCCGGGUCUUGUACACACCGCCCGUCACACCAUGGGAGUCGGAAAUGCCCGAAGUCUGUGACCCAACCAUUAAGGAGGGAGCAGCCGAAGGCAGGUCGGAUGACUGGGGUGAAGUCGUAACAAGGUAUC
rnacentral:rRNA from 1 species